rnacentral:rRNA from 1 species
AUACGGAGGAUGCGAGCGUUAUCCGGAUUUAUUGGGUUUAAAGGGAGCGUAGGUGGGAUAUUAAGUCAGCUGUGAAAGUUUGGGGCUCAACCUUAAAAUUGCAGUUGAUACUGGUUUCCUUGAGUACGGUACAGGUGGGCGGAAUUCGUGGUGUAGCGGUGAAAUGCUUAGAUAUCACGAAGAACUCCGAUCGCGAAGGCAGCUCACCGGGCCGGAACUGACACUGAUGCUCGAAAGUGCUGGUAUCAAACAGGAUUAGAUACCCUGGUAGUCCGCACAGUAAACGAUGAAUACUCGCUGUUUGCGAUACACUGUAAGCGGCCAAGCGAAAGCGUUAAGUAUUCCACCUGGGGAGUACGCCGGCAACGGUGAAACUCAAAUGAAUUGACGGG